rnacentral:lncRNA from 1 species
AUUCAUAUGCAUGAUGGGAAUUAUUUACAGAAUGGUGGUCAUAGCUUGUAAGAAUCUCUCAGACUAUAAUAUUAUCACAUCUGAGGUUGAUGAUGCAAAUCAGUUAAUUCUACACCUUACUCCCACCACACCCCUCCACUGUGCUGAGUAUCUUCCAUUUCCUCCUUUAAAUCCUUCUCCAUACAGCUUUCUGGCCCCAAGAGGCUGACUGGUACGGACAAGGUCAACAGGUUUCCAUGUCCUCUGACUUCUUGUUGAAUUCAGUCAAUGGGGAGGAGGGAAGAUGUAAAGUUUACAAAGAGUAACAAUGGACUGUGAUAAAGAUUCAAGAUUCCAGUGCUUCCUUCUAAAAUUGAAUUAUUCAGCUUUAUCACUUGAAACUGUAGAGUAUAAUGGGGAAGAAAUGUGCAAAAGUGCUUUGUGGCAAAAUAUAUGGAAUGAAGGAAAAAAAUGGUAAAAAGAAAACAUUCUCCAAAGGAAACAAAAGUGACUGGAGUGAAACCCUCUGUCCGGUAAAUUUAACUUUAUUUAAAACCCGUGUGUUACCUAUUAUUUAUCAUUUUUCAGGGUCUAAAAGUGAAUGGGGAAAGAAAACUAUUAAGUAGGAAUACUUUAAAUUUAUGUACAGAUGUCAAAAACUUCUUAGGUUGACAUUUGAGGAAACUUACUCCUUCCACACCUCCAAAAAAAUGCAGGCUACCUGCCAUACUUUUAGUUUUUACAGAAAUUUUGUGUUAUUCUCCUGUACCCCUUUAGGAAUAUGUAAGUUUUUAAACAGAGGCAUUGAACGACAGAAAUCAUUUCAUCUUAGAACUGAAAAGUAAGUGGAAAGCCCUAAAGGGGGCUUGUUUCUCACUCCCCCAAAAAUUCAUGUGGAAUCUUGAUGUCUUCUUAUUUAAAUAUACUUCAAGAAACCUAUUAUGCUAAAGUUCCUCCCCGGAUUUCUAAAUAGCUCCUUCUUCCUCAAAACUAAAGGGCAAGUGGAUACCUCCCAAGGUAGCCCAAGUGUCUUGAUGAAGGACCUUGUUGAAAAAAGGUGAACUGUCAAGACAGAAUCCCACGGUAAUAGACUGAAGAAAUAUCAAAUGUGACAGGUUCUGAAAAGACAUUAUUUUAGUCAUAAGUGGCACUGUCUAUGCCAGGGACUUGGUAGAGUGUGGAGGUCAGGGUGGAAACGGGUGUCUAAGAAGAACGUACUAAUGUAUCACACUAAGGCGAGAGUGUUUGGACUCCUGCUGAUACAGGAGUUAAAAAGAAAUUAUUUAGGCAGAGUGAGGGUAAGGAAGUCCUUGGUAGGUUUCCCUUUUAAUAAAAGCAGCCCAAAAUAAUUUCUUUUCUAGCAAAAAACUGCCUGCAAAAUCGAGCUGCAAACAUAGAAAAGCAAGCUGGAAGCUUGCACAGGUGAAUGCCAGCAUCUGUGACAAGAGGAAAAGAGGCUACUUGGGGACUAGGCAUGUUCAAAAUGGCAGCUUUAUAUUCCCUUUUUCUUGCCUACCACGUGUCCAGUGGGGAGCAGACAACGCGCCCUCCAGCCAGGCAAAGACUCUAUUUGCAUAAUAAGAUGAGGGUGGGGUGGUCAGCUUCCCCACCCACUAUGUAAACAUCACACCUGGUUCAACCAAUCUUUGGGCCCUGUGUAAAUCAGACACAGCCACCUCAAGCCUGUCUGUAAAACCCUUUGCACUCCACCACCAGUCAGAAGUCCCACUGGGAGACCCGUCUCUCUCACAGGAAAGACAGCUGUUCUCCUUUCUCUUUCUUUUGCCUAUUAAACCUCCGCUCUGUUUGUUUGUUUUUUUGUUUGUUUGUUUGAGACGGAGUCUCACUCUGUCUUCAGGCUGGAGUGCAGUAGUGCGAUCUCGGCUCACUGCAACCUCUGCCUCCCAGGUUCAAGCGAUUCCCCUGUCUCAGCCUCCCGAGUAGCUGGGACUACAGGCAGGUGCCCCCACACCUAGCUAAUUUUUUUAUUUUUAUUUAUUUAUUUUUUAAUUUCAGUAGAGACAGGGUUUCACUAUGUUGGCCAAGAUGGUCUCGAUUUCCUGACCUCAUGAUCCAUCCUCCUCAGCCUCCCAAAGAGCUGGGAUUACAGGCAUCCUGAGCCACCUUGCCCUGCCUAAACCUCUCUGGUCUUAUCCUCACUCCACAUGUGUCCCUGUCCUUGAUUUCCUUGGCAUGAGGCAAUGAACCUCAGGUAUUAUGCCAGACAGCUACACCAUUUCACCACCACAAAGAAAGGCUUAAUGAUCAGCCAGUGCAAACCAAAGAAGAAAGAGCUCCAGCAAAAUAACAGGUGUUAGCCUUUUCCCCCUAAUCUCCAUUCUCUUUUCCUACACCCUGGACAAACCAGAUGAGGGAGUGGGAGGAAGAAGAGGCACAGGAAUAAACCAUUUACUGCCUGUUCUUGAGCCACAGAUCUGAGUGGGCAAGAGUGGGAGCUGGAGCCUUGUCCAGAGAGGAAGCAUCUUUGAAUUAGGUAUGCCAUUAAAAGCUCCAUGUAGUCUGCUGGACUUCCAGUAUACCACCUGAAAAUAAAAUUCUCAGAACUGAAAGAUACUAAAAGGUUCUGGGAUCUUCCCAGGCUGCCAUCCUAGAGGAGGGAAAAGAGAGUGGUAGACCAUUUUUGAUAUCAGCUGAGGGUGAGGGGGGUGAGGGAGGUGAGGGAGGUGAGGUAGUCCUUUCCUACUGACAACACUGGGUACAGGCCAUUCAAUAAACAGAUUACAUUUAGAAUAAACCUGCAUUCACUGAGGGAAACUAAGUUUCUCUCAUCUCUGGAACUUUAAGAGCUCAAAUCAAAGAGCUUUGAUAUUUUUAUUUAGUCUAUUAUGUAGGUAUCUUUUUAGAUAAAUAGGUAAUAGCUUGUUAUAGCUUUCUGUUAUCUGUCUUCUCUGUUUUUAAAUACAAAUUCAAGUCUACAGCACUGAGAUUAUCUGCUCCCUUCUACAUCAGCUAUAUUUGGAGGUGGGACAGAAAAAGAAAUUCCAAGCUCAUUUUUUUAAUGACAGGAAGCAGCAAGUAUUCAAACUAUUGGCUUUAGAAUGUCUUUUGUGAUCCUUUAAUUCACAGUAAACAAAUAUUUUGUUUUCACUGUUACCUAGAAGAAAAUGCAACUCGGCCAAAAAAAAAUUUGUUAAUAACAUUUAUGUAUAAUAAGAUUACAUAUAUUUUUUAUAACUUUGAACUGAAU